AGAGUUGAUCAUGGCUCAGGAUGAACGCUAGCUACAGGCUUAACACAUGCAAGUCGAGGGGCAGCAGGACGAUAGCUUGCUAUGUUGCUGGCGACCGGCGCACGGGUGAGUAACGCGUAUCCAACCUUCCCCUUAGUAGGGCAUAGCCCGGUGAAAAUCGGAUUAAUACCCUAUGUUGUGUCAUGAGGAUAUCUGAAUAACACUAAAGAUUUAUCGCUAAGGGAUGGGGAUGCGUCCGAUUAGGUAGUCGGCGGGGUAACGGCCCACCGAGCCCUCGAUCGGUAGGGGUUCUGAGAGGAAGGUCCCCCACACUGGUACUGAGACACGGACCAGACUCCUACGGGAGGCAGCAGUGAGGAAUAUUGGUCAAUGGGCGCGAGCCUGAACCAGCCAAGUAGCGUGCAGGAUGACGGCCCUAUGGGUUGUAAACUGCUUUUAUACGGGGAUAAAGUGAGGGACGUGUCCCUUAUUGUAGGUACCGUAUGAAUAAGGACCGGCUAAUUCCGUGCCAGCAGCUGC
rnacentral:rRNA from 1 species